rnacentral:rRNA from 1 species
UUUGACUCUCGCCCGAAGGACGCCGCAGCCGGUUGGGUAGUGCAAGCGCGGCGGUCAGAAAGGGGGAAGAUGGCAGGUGGCCGGUGGCCCGCCCCGUGCGGGCCCGCCGGUUGUUAGCCGUUCCCUCGGUGGCCGCCACCCGACCGUGGUGUCGCCAGGCCCUUCGCGGGCCGAUUUCCGUCUCCUCCCCACAGCGGGAUGCCGGGACCGAGCGGCGCGGGCGGGUCACGCCGGCCGUCGCACCCCCAGAGGGGUGGACGGUCCGAGCGGGGAACCCUCCGAUGCAGCGUCGCCGGACCCGUGGGAGGCCGGAGGCUUGCGGCGAGUAGGUCGGUCACCCACCCGACCCGUCUUGAAACACGGACCAAGGAGUCUAACAUGUGCGCGAGUCAGUGGGUCUUGAUCAGGCCCACGGGCGCAAUGAAAGCAAAGGCGCGGCCCAGGCCCGCCGAGUUGGGAUCCCCCCUUUCCGGGGGGGGCGCACCAACGACCCGUCCUUUCCGGCUCGCCGGUUGGGCGGAGUGUGAGCGUACACGUUGGGACCCGAAAGAUGGUGAACUAUGCCCGAACAGGACGAAGCCAGAGGAAACUCUGGUGGAGGUCCGCAGCGGUCUGACGUG